rnacentral:rRNA from 1 species
UAGGGAAUCUUCCACAAUGGGCGAAAGCCUGAUGGAGCAACGCCGCGUGUGUGAUGAAGGGUUUCGGCUCGUAAAACACUGUUGUAAGAGAAGAAUGACAUUGAGAGUAACUGUUCAAUGUGUGACGGUAUCUUACCAGAAAGGAACGGCUAAAAUACGUGCCAG